CUACGGGGGGCAGCAGGUAGGAAUCUUUUGCAAUGCGCGCAAGCGUGACAAAGCGAGCCAGAGUGCUUUUCAAUGAAAAGCUUUUGCUAAAUCUAAAAAGUUUGGCGAAUAAGGACCGGGUAAGACUAGUGCCAGCCGCCGCGGUAAUCCUAGCGGUCCGAGUCGCAGCCAUCAUUAUUGGGUCUAAAACAUCCGUAGCUUGUUUAAUAAGUUCCUUGUGAAAUUUUAUCUCUUAAGGAUAAAGCGUGCAAGGAAUACUGUUAGGCUAGAGACUGGAAGACGUAAGAAGUAUGUUCAAAGUAGCGGUAAAAUGUGUUAAUCUUGAGCAGACUCACAAUAGCGAAGGCAUCUUACGAGGACAGUUCUGACAGUUAAGGAUGAAGGCUAGGGGCGCAAAGUGGAUUAGAUACCCCGGUAGUC
rnacentral:rRNA from 1 species